UACGUAGGGUGCAAGCGUUGUCCGGAAUUAUUGGGCGUAAAGAGCUCGUAGGCGGUCUGUCACGUCGGCUGUGAAAACCUGAGGCUCAACCUCAGGCCUGCAGUCGAUACGAGCAGACUAGAGUGUUGCAGGGGAGACUGGAAUUCCUGGUGUAGCGGUGAAAUGCGCAGAUAUCAGGAGGAACACCGGUGACGAAGGCGGGUCUCUGGGCAACAACUGACGCUGAGGAGCGAAAGCGUGGGGAGCGAACAGG
rnacentral:rRNA from 1 species